rnacentral:rRNA from 1 species
CCUACGGGUGGCUGCAGUGGGGAAUAUUGCACAAUGGGGGAAACCCUGAUGCAGCGACGCCGCGUGAGUGAGGAAGUAUUUCGGUAUGUAAAGCUCUAUCAGCAGGGAAGAAAAUGACGGUACCUGACUCAGAAGCACCGGCUAACUACGUGCCAGCAGCCGUGGCAAUACGGAGGGGGCAAGCGUUAUCCGGAUUUACUGGGUGUAAAGGGAGCGUAGACGGCUAAUCAAGUCAGAAGUGAAAACACAGGGCUAAAAUUUGGGACAGCGUUUGAAACUGAGUAGCUAGAGUGCAGGAGAGGUAAGCGGAAUGCGUGGUGUAGCGGUGAAAUGCGUAGAUAUUAGGAGGAACACCAGUGGCGAAGGCGGCUUACUGGACUGUAACUGACGUUGAGGCUCGAAAGCGUGGGGAGCAAACAGGAUUAGAUACCCGUGUAGUC